GACGAACGCUGGCGGCGUGCUUAACACAUGCAAGUCGAACGGAAAGGCCCUGCUUGCAGGGUACUCGAGUGGCGAACGGGUGAGUAACACGUGGGUGAUCUGCCCUGCACUUCGGGAUAAGCUUGGGAAACUGGGUCUAAUACCGGAUAGGACCGCACUUUAGUGUGUGUGGUGGAAAGUUUUUUCGGUGUAGGAUGAGCUCGCGGCCUAUCAGCUUGUUGGUGGGGUAAUGGCCUACCAAGGCGGCGACGGGUAGCCGGCCUGAGAGGGUGUACGGCCAAUGGGGGGGUGAGUGGAGGAGCAGACACCGGCGGGAGGGAGUGGGGGGGAAGUUUGCAGAGGGGGGGGGGGGUGGGGGCAGCGGCGGGGGGUGGAGGAUGAUGGGGUUGGGGUUGUACACUCGUUUCGCGAGGGAGGAAGCUUUUGGGGGGGGUACCGAGAAAGGAGGCGGCGGGUAACAACGUGAAAGCAACGGAGGUAAUAAGGGGAAAAGGAAAAUUGUAACC
rnacentral:rRNA from 1 species